GGCAGUGCGGCAGCUAUAAUGCAGUCGACGCUUUUUCUUUCACCGGAGCUUGCUCCACCGAAAGAAAAAGAGUGGCGAACGGGUGAGUAACACGUGGGUAACCUGCCCAUCAGAAGGGGAUAACACUUGGAAACAGGUGCUAAUACCGUAUAACACUAUUUUCCGCAUGGAAGAAAGUUGAAAGGCGCUUUUGCGUCACUGAUGGAUGGACCCGCGGUGCAUUAGCUAGUUGGUGAGGUAACGGCUCACCAAGGCCACGAUGCAUAGCCGACCUGAGAGGGUGAUCGGCCACACUGGGACUGAGACACGGCCCAGACUCCUACGGGAGGCAGCAGUAGGGAAUCUUCGGCAAUGGACGAAAGUCUGACCGAGCAACGCCGCGUGAGUGAAGAAGGUUUUCGGAUCGUAAAACUCUGUUGUUAGAGAAGAACAAGGAUGAGAGUAGAACGUUCAUCCCUUGACGGUAUCUAACCAGAAAGCCACGGCUAACUACGUGCCAGCAGCCGCGGUAAUACGUAGGUGGCAAGCGUUGUCCGGAUUUAUUGGGCGUAAAGCGAGCGCAGGCGGUUUCUUAAGUCUGAUGUGAAAGCCCCCGGCUCAACCGGGGAGGGUCAUUGGAAACUGGGAGACUUGAGUGCAGAAGAGGAGAGUGGAAUUCCAUGUGUAGCGGUGAAAUGCGUAGAUAUAUGGAGGAACACCAGUGGCGAAGGCGGCUCUCUGGUCUGUAACUGACGCUGAGGCUCGAAAGCGUGGGGAGCGAACAGGAUUAGAUACCCUGGUAGUCCACGCCGUAAACGAUGAGUGCUAAGUGUUGGAGGGUUUCCGCCCUUCAGUGCUGCAGCAAACGCAUUAAGCACUCCGCCUGGGGAGUACGACCGCAAGGUUGAAACUCAAAGGAAUUGACGGGGGCCCGCACAAGCGGUGGAGCAUGUGGUUUAAUUCGAAGCAACGCGAAGAACCUUACCAGGUCUUGACAUCCUUUGACCACUCUAGAGAUAGAGC
rnacentral:rRNA from 1 species